rnacentral:lncRNA from 1 species
UAUCUCUUACAAAAAUUUGGAAAAACUUCAAAUAUCACCCCGUGAUUUCACAUUUUCUCAUUUUAAUACCCUAUGGUUUAAAGUGUAUCAAUUUAAUUAGUACCUUGUGGAUUGUGGUUUCAUUUUUAUUUUAUUUUUUAUAGAUUUCAUUAAUUUUUUUUGUUAAAUAAGUGACAAAGUUAAAACUAAAGCUACCGUUUGGUUCGGGGUUAAGAAAAAGCUAUUCCAGGGAUAGAGUUAAGUUCAGGGUUAAGGUGGGGUUAGAGUAAUUUUGUGUUUGGUUGAGAAUUGGGUUUAGUACAGAUAUAGAUAAAAUAGUGUUUGGUUGGAGUAGGUGGGAUAAGAAGGAUAAUGGGUAAAAUAGUGUUUUGUUUGGUUGGAGUAGUAGGAUAAGGUAGGGUAGGGUAGGGUAGGGUGGGGUUAGCUAACCCCACCUCCCAAAUUGGGUGUUUGGGAAUAACUUCCGGGUUAAGGGGAUACUCCACCCCUUAACCCCGAACCAAACCGGUGCAAAGGGUAUUAAACUGAAUAUUCGAUAAACUUAGGUAGGAUAUCUGAAAUUUUUUGUGUAUAAUUUAAUAAAGUAUUAACGAAAAAUAAAACCAUAGGACACUAACUUUACACUUUAAAAUAAAACCAUAGGACACUAACUUGAUACACUUUAAAUCACGAGGUAUUAAAGUGAGAAAAUACAAAACUAUUGGAGUGGUAUUUGAAGUUUAUCCUAAAAAUUUUGUUAAAAAAGACAAAAUCUUUUAAGUUCUUAUUACAAUAUGAAAUUUAUCUCAAAUUUUGAAACCGCUGUGUCCUAAUAUAGAUUUGUUAAGAUUUUUUUUUUUCUUGUUUUUUGAGGAGGCUAAAUGUAAACUGAAUUGAAUGGAAUUUUAUAUAGAAUGGAAUGGAACUGUCUGAUUUUGAUCGGGUUUGGGUCGGUAGAUUGGGUGGAUGGGUUUGUACCCGUAGUCCAAAAUCCACAACUAAUUGGACACGUCGAUCCUCAUUCUACCCGCGCGGGCGAACCGACGCUGUAGCCGUUUCCCGUUUCCCGUUUCCCGUUUCCGCCCUUUUCCGCCUCGGUUGCUCCUCCGCAUGUUUCCCCAUCUCUUGCGGGGGUGAACCAUCGUUCCCCUCAACAAAAAAACCAAAAAACCAAAAAAAAAACCCUAUUUCCCACCACCCCAACAACCCCUUGGCCGUGCUCAAUCUCCUCCUCCUCCUCCUCCUCUCGUGGAUCCCAUUGUAAUGGGGAUCAUCGUCUCCAUCCCGAUCACGAAGCCCUAGAAUUCGCAAGGAGCCGAGGGAGCGGGUGGUGAAGAGAGGGAGCGAGGGGCGAGAUGUUGCAGAGAGCGGCGAGCAAUGCGUAUUCAUGGUGGUGGGCGAGCCACAUCAGGACCAAGCAAUCCAAAUGGCUCGACAACGACCUCCAAGGUCUCUCUCUCUCCUUUGAUUCGCAUUAAUGAUGAUUCCUUGCUCGCAUUCGAAUUCUCAUUCAUUUCGCGUUAAUCGGUUCGAUCGAGCCAAGUAAAUGCUCAUGUUUCUAAUUUUUCGUGUCAAAGAGCAAAAAUUAAGGAGCAAUUCCCUCUUUCUUUUCAAAAAAAUUUGCUUUCAAUUUCACUUGACGGAGGAUUNGGUGGGGAAUGGGGGGGAGUGAGCCUGUGUGGGGAGAUGGUGUAUGGGCCGUUGGAUUUUGGAUAGAUGGAUGGGGAAUGGAAGGUUGUGAUGGACGUGCCGCGGAUUCGUGACGUGGCAGAGAAUUUGAUGAAACGGAGGAUUCCUUGUGGUGCGUUGGGAAAUUUGAACAUCGGCGGGAAAAUCGGGCGCAAGUUUUUAUAAGAGAUAGUUAUUGCAGAGCGCACAGCUUAUUUUAUAUUUUAGUCCCUCGAAUCUUGUAUAUUUUGCCUGUGAGCCUUCUUUAAAAAAAAAAACUUUUUAUAUAUUCUACAAGGUUACUAUUAUGAAUUGUCAUAAUAAUUCAAAAUUGAAAUUCUUCACCUUUUCUUUAUAAAAAUAAUAAACUUUUGAAUGCUUAUGCUUCCGGCUAUAACUAUCUCUUAUAAAAAUUUGGAAAAACUUCAAAUAUCACCCCGUGGUUUCACAUUUUCUCAUUUUAAUACCCUAUGGUUUAAAGUGUAUCAAUUUAAUUAGUACCUUGUGGAUUGUGGUUUCAUUUUUAUUUUAUUUUUUAUAGAUUUCAUUAAUUUUUUUUGUUAAAUAAGUUACAAAGUUAAAACUAAAGCUACCGUUUGGUUCGGGAUUAAGAAAAAACUAGUUAUUCCAGGGAUAGGGUUAAGUUCAGGGUUAAGGUGGGGUUAGAGUAAUUUUGUGUUUGGUUGAGAAUUGGGUUUAGUACAGAUAGAGAUAAAAUAGUGUUUGGUUGGAGUAGGUGGGAUAAGAAAGAUAAUGAGUAAAAUAGUGUUUUGUUUCGUUGGAGUAGUAGGGUAGGGUAGGGUAGGGAAGGGUGGGGUUAACUAACCCCACCUCCCAAAUUGGGUGUUUGGGAAUAACUUCCGGGUUAAGGGGAUACUCCAACCCUUAACCCCGAACCAAACCGGUGCAAAGGGUAUUAAACUGAAUAUUCGAUAAACUUAGGUGGGAUAUCUGAAAUUUUUUGUGUAUAAUUUAAUAAAGUAUUAACGAAAAAGCUGACGAAAAAAUAAAAAUAAAACCAUAGGAUACUAACUUGAUAUACUUUAAAAUAAAACCAUAAGACACUAACUUGAUACACUUUAAAUCACAAGGUAUUAAAGUGAGAAAAUACAAAACUAUAGGAGUGGUAUUUGAAGUUUAUCCUAAAAAUUUUGUUAAAAAAGACAAAAUCUUUUAAGUUCUUAUUA